rnacentral:lncRNA from 1 species
UUUCUCUCUCACUAUCCUCUUUUGCCUCACCAUCACUCUGUCUCUCUCGUUGGUUUUCUAAUUCGUUAAUUCUCACCCUCUUACUGUGGUCCUUCGAAGAACUGCAAAGAAGUUGGUCAUCAACGCAAUUUUUUCGCUCCCAAGAAACAAACCAAUCCACAGACUCAGGCGGCAGCUCCUGGUUGAGAAGUGGGUUUUACCCUCGCUCCCCCAUGUGACCUUCUUCUUUAUUGAGUCUCCAGAUAUCUCAGAUAGGCGGUCCUUCUCGGUUGCGAAUUUGGGGAAGUUGCGUUGAGCCGAAAGACCAAUGAAUUUCAGCAGAGCAAGAAAGCAGCCAUGGUUUCUCAGGCACAGGUAGUGGGCGUAUUCAAGAUGGAAGCUCCCUCAACUUCUCAAAGGUGAUAAAUUAUCCAUGAUUUCUAAAUGAAUGCCGA